UAACGCGUGGGUAACCUGCCUCAUACAGGGGGAUAACAGUUAGAAAUGACUGCUAAUACCGCAUAAGCGCACAGUGCUGCAUGGCACAGUGUGAAAAACUCCGGUGGUAUGAGAUGGACUCGCGUCUGAUUAGCUAGUUGGUGGGGUAACGGCCUACCAAGGCGACGAUCAGUAGCCGACCUGAGAGGGUGACCGGCCACAUUGGGACUGAGACACGGCCCAA
rnacentral:rRNA from 1 species